rfam:Ornithorhynchus anatinus chromosome 4, whole genome shotgun sequence.
GCCCUCUUAGAAUCAUACCUGGAGCGUUUCCAGUACUCUACCAGUCUUGGCUAUGGGAGGAAGAGACAUGCAGAGGCAUACCCAUUCCAUUUCUAGCUUGGACUGUGGCUCGCUAGUGGAAGGCAAUCUGCUACAAGU